rnacentral:sRNA from 1 species
CUUAUAAUAUUCAAGCUAAUAUCUGUCGGCAACCUGAUAUCUAGCUUGCUGCAUUAGAAUUAUUCAUGCUGGUGUUUGUGAGAGAUGUAGAACAAACCGUAUCCAUUGUACAAAUAUAUGCUGUAGAUUGUAUUCUAGCGACAUAUGUAUAUAUUUGUGCCUCUGAAAUCAUGGACUCAUGUACUACUUUCAUUUGGAUGUAUAUAUACAUGACAAUGCAUUGAUAUC